CCCCUCUCAGGGUCUCAUCUGGAGAGUUUCCAGUACUCUACCAGUCUCGGCUACGGGAGGGAGAGUCAAGCAGAGGCAUUUCCAUUCCUAGCUUGGGCAGUGGCUAGCGAGCAGAAGGCAAUCUGCUACAAGU